rnacentral:tRNA from 1 species
GCCCCCGUAGCUCAGUGGACAGAGCGCCGGACUUCUAAUCCGAUGGUCGCUGGUUCGAAUCCAGCCGGGGGCG